rnacentral:misc_RNA from 1 species
GUUUACAUCAGCACUUGUUUUAAUUGAGUUUCCAAGAUAGAUAAUGACAUUGACAUGCUAGUAAAUCCUAACUUGAAACUCACAGGUGGAUGGGAGGUUUUCAUGAAAUGCCUACACAAACACAAAAGAUAUAAGAUACUAAUCUAUUUCACAUCACAUAUAUUAUGCUGCGCAUUACAAUCACAUAUACGAGUUCCAUUAACAAAGCGAGCAUCAAAUUGCUUUAGCAAUAAAAAUCUGAAUACC